rnacentral:rRNA from 1 species
ACGCACGCUGGCGGCGUGCUUCACACAUGCAAGUCGCACGGAAAGGCCCUGCUUUUGUGGGGUGCUCGAGUGGCGAACGGGUGAGUAACACGUGAGUAACCUGCCCUUGACUUUGGGAUAACUUCAGGAAACUGGGGCUAAUACCGGAUAGGAGCUCCUGCUGCAUGGUGGGGGUUGGAAAGUUUCGGCGGUUGGGGAUGGACUCGCGGCUUAUCAGCUUGUUGGUGGGGUAGUGGCUUACCAAGGCUUUGACGGGUAGCCGGCCUGAGAGGGUGACCGGCCACAUUGGGACUGAGAUACGGCCCAGACUCCUACGGGAGGCAGCAGGGGGGAAUAUUGCACAAUGGGCGGAAGCCGGAUGCAGCAACGCCGCGUGCGGGAUGACGGCCUUCGGGUUGUAAACCGCUUUCGCCUGUGACGAAGCGUGAGUGACGGUAAUGGGUAAAGAAGCACCGGCUAACUACGUG